GAUCCUGGCUCAGGAUGAACGCUGGCGGCGUGCCUAAUACAUGCAAGUCGAACGCAUCACUUCGGUGAUGAGUGGCGAACGGGUGAGUAAUACAUAAGUAACCUGGCCCAUACAGGGGGAUAACUGCUGGAAACGGCAGCUAAGACCGCAUAUGUGUAGAGAUCGCAUGAACUCUAUAUGAAAAGUGCUACGGCACUGGUAAGGGAUGGACUUAUGGCGCAUUAG
rnacentral:rRNA from 1 species